CGAAUGGCUAACUAACCUAACUAACUAACUAGUGCCCCACCCAAGCUCUCAGAACCCUCGUAGGGAACCCCUGUAUGGAAA
rnacentral:tRNA from 1 species